CGCGAGACUCUUUCAAGUAAAUUGCACUACGCCCUAAGGAAGGGGAAGCCUUCUCCAACUCAGAUUUCAGACCAUGCUUUAGUCCUUCAUGCAAAUGAUUCACCUCCUGUGAUAUGUGGCAUUUAAGUGAAUAAACUGAUNNNNNNNCUUCACCACUCUCUUGGCAAUGGAUCCUGCUUACAAGUUCAAUUCCAAAAAGUGCCUUCACA
rnacentral:misc_RNA from 1 species